rnacentral:rRNA from 2 species
GACGAACGCUGGCGGCGUGCCUAAUACAUGCAAGUAGAACGCUGAAGGAGGGGCUUGCUUCUCUGGAUGAGUUGCGAACGGGUGAGUAACGCGUAGGUAACCUGCCUGGUAGCGGGGGAUAACUAUUGGAAACGAUAGCUAAUACCGCAUAAUAGUAGAUAUCGCAUGAUAACUGCUUAAAAGGUGCAAUUGCAUCACUACCAGAUGGACCUGCGUUGUAUUAGCUAGUUGGUGAGGUAACGGCUCACCAAGGCGACGAUACAUAGCCGACCUGAGAGGGUGAUCGGCCACACUGGGACUGAGACACGGCCCAGACUCCUACGGGAGGCAGCAGUAGGGAAUCUUCGGCAAUGGACGGAAGUCUGACCGAGCAACGCCGCGUGAGUGAAGAAGGUUUUCGGAUCGUAAAGCUCUGUUGUAAGAGAAGAACGAGUGUGAGAGUGGAAAGUUCACACUGUGACGGUAUCUUACCAGAAAGGGACGGCUAACUACGUG